CCUCCUCCCCCCCUAUGAAGAAUUCAUUGAACUGCUCCAAUAGGGCAGAUGAUGCCCUUCCUCUCUGGUGUCAGUGAGGAACAUUCCCCAAAGCUUCAUCCUCUCUUUGACUGGUUUCCUGAUGAUCUGGCAGACACAAGCUGUUGCUCCAAGCAUCCUCCAAUGCUCCCUGCUCAGGCUAAACAAUAAGAAAAUAAAUAACAGUCCAUCAAAGCCCUGAAGUUUUGAGGAAAACAAGAAGACAGAAUUAUUUCCUCAUGAAACCAGGAGCAGCGGGCAGCCAGCAAAAGUGUGCUGAGGUGGAAGGGACAACACUUCCACACAGCCGGAAUAGAGCUGUCCUCCUGUGAUGUUAUGGGAUGCAUUUGCAGAGGGAAAUUGAGUUUUUCAAACUCUGGACCUGGUAUAAAUUUGCUGGAGAUAUCAAAGAUCUCAGUGACCAUCUGCUAGGCAGAAGCACCAGCAGUCCAUCUCCGUGAGGGUUCCAUGAGUGAGGAGAUGACAGUGAUUUUCAAAACCUUCCCAUGGAAAUCUAUAGCACCCCUAAACCUUCCGUGAUGCUUUAUUCAAUAUGGGAAUGACGUGAGAUUUAUGUGAGGGCAGAGCUGGGCUCAUAACUCAACACUGGAGAAACAUUGGAGCAGAUGGAAAGUUUAUUGUCUAAAUAGCUUCAUAGCCACGGAAUAACAAGACAUGUGAAAGCACUUGGCAAAGUAAUGUUCCUUGAGAAUAUGCUUUAUUUAGAAAAAGAGAAAUGCAAUAUUUUUCUUUUUCUUUUCUCAUCAAAGGCAAUGCUGUUCUGAAUGUCAUCUCUGAAAAAACGUUUCAUUUUGUAGUAUUGAUUCGGAGCAUUCUCCCCAAAUUGGUAUUUUGAUUAAAAUGACAAAGUUAAACCAGUAUUUUCAUCACAAAAAGAUGUUUUCCAGCCUAGUUGUUUGCCUACUUUGAUGGAUGCAUCAGCCUGUCCAUCUUGUCUUCCUUCUUUGUGAGGUCUUCAGGACAAGAAAUCAUAGAAUUAUAGAAUCAUUAAGGUUGGGAAGAUCACUGAGUCCAGUCAUCAAAAGCUCAAAAACAAGCAGGGAUGGAAGGCAGUAUUGCCUCUGCUGUGCAUGACUCAACUCAUUGGCAAAAACAUCUUCCUGGAAGAGUCUAGACCCGGUCUGGAUCCAAGGACUGUCACCUGAGAGGACUAGAGGAGAGUUUAUCCUCUUGCCUCUCUUAAAACUGAAAUAGACGGAUGCUUCACACUGGUGACACCAACUCUGCUUUCAAAAGAGACCUGAAUUUUGUACCUGAAAGGGCAUUCAGCAACUUCUGGGUUAUAAGACUUGUCUUGUAGUCAAUCAGCUCCCUUCUUAUCUAUGAGAAAUUCGUCUUGUCUUUUCCUUUCCUUAAAUGCUAUAUAUCAUCAUUGAGUAAAAAGUUAAUUGUAUGGGUGCUUAGUAAAAUUAAUUGUAUGGAUGUUUAGUGCUAAGUAUGUUAAUUGGUUUAUGAUUUAAAAUUAAUUAAAGUAUGGUCUUUGGGGAAAUUUAUCAUCAUUUGUCAAACAAAUCUGUUGCUUGCAAUAAGCCCAAAAUCAAAAUAUACUGUACUUCUCCUUCUGCUGAGUUAAAACUCAUGAAAACUUUUUUGUUUAUUUACUUGUUCAUUCACUUAUAGCUAUGCCAUCAAUUGAUAUUUGUUUCCUCAAUUUUUGGCUAUGACUGCUUAAUGUCUUUGUCAGCAGAACCAAUGAUGC
ensembl:lncRNA